UUCCCGUGCUUCCUUCAACGCCUUGAGCAUCUCUAGGUGCAUAACAUUUGUCUGCUCUUCACUUUCUUCCUCGCUUGGCCUUCGCGCGCCUGUCUGCCUGACAUUCGUUGGUUGUUGAUUAGCCAUGUAUAGUAUGUUGAACUUCCUUCCGAAGCGUCUUCAAGGAUGGGUUGAUCGAGAUUUAGAUUCACGCCUUGGAAAGCUUGACUUGUUUGCCUUGGAACUGGAUCUGGUGAGAUAAUGCUAUUUGUUGGUGAAGCUCUUCCUAUUGUUCUCCCACUUCGAGUUAUGGGCAUACCCUUCACGAAUUCUACACCUCCCUAGCAGAAUCGCCAAAGAAAUGUGGGCAAGGAAAUUGUACCUUGCUAGGGUUAGGGUUUUGUGUUGGCUGAGGAUGAGAGA
rnacentral:lncRNA from 1 species